GACGAACGCUGGCGGCGUGCUUAACACAUGCAAGUCGAACGGUAAGGCCCUUCGGGGUACACGAGUGGCGAACGGGUGAGUAACACGUGGGUGAUCUGCCCUGCACUUCGGGAUAAGCCUGGGAAACUGGGUCUAAUACCGGAUAGGACCACUGCCUGCAUGGGUGGUGGUGGAAAGCUCUUGCGGUGUGGGAUGGGCCCACGGCCUAUCAGCUUGUUGGUGGGGUGAUGGCCUACCAAGGCGACGACGGGUAGCCGGCCUGAGAGGGUGACCGGCCACACUGGGACUGAGAUACGGCCCAGACUCCUACGGGAGGCAGCAGUGGGGAAUAUUGCACAAUGGGCGCAAGCCUGAUGCAGCGACGCCGCGUGAGGGAUGACGGCCUUCGGGUUGUAAACCUCUUUCAGCACCGACGAAGCGCAAGUGACGGUAGGUGCAGAAGAAGGACCGGCCAACUACGUGCCAGCAGCCGCUGUAA
rnacentral:rRNA from 1 species